rnacentral:rRNA from 1 species
AACCCGCCUACAUGAAGUUGGAAUUGCUAGUAAUCGCGAAUCAGAAUGUCGCGGUGAAUACGUUCCCGGGUCUUGUACACACCGCCCGUCACACCAUGGGAGUCGGGAAUGCCCGAAGUCAGUGACCCAACCAUAUGGAGGGAGCUGCCGAAGGCAGGUCUGAUAACUGGGGUGAAGUCGUAACAAGGUAAC